rnacentral:rRNA from 1 species
AGUGAACGCUGGCGGUAGGCCUAACACAUGCAAGUCGAACGGCAGCACAGUAAGAGCUUGCUCUUACGGGUGGCGAGUGGCGGACGGGGGAGGAAUACAUCGGAAUCUACUUUUUCGUGGGGGAUAACGUAGGGAAACUUACGCUAAUACCGCAUACGACCUACGGGUGAAAGCAGGGGAUCUUCGGACCUUGCGCGAUUGAAUGAGCCGAUGUCAGAUUAGCUAGUUGGCGGGGUAAAGGCCCACCAAGGCGACGAUCCGUAGCUGGUCUGAGAGGAUGAUCAGCCACACUGGAACUGAGACACGGUCCAGACUCCUACGGGAGGCAGCAGUGGGGAAUAUUGGACAAUGGGCGCAAGCCUGAUCCAGCCAUACCGCGUGGGUGAAGAAGGCCUUCGGGUUGUAAAGCCCUUUUGUUGGGAAAGAAAAGCAGCAGGUUAAUACCCCGCUGUUCUGACGGUACCCAAAGAAUAAGCACCGGCUAACUUCGUG